AUUGAACGCUGGCGGCAGGCUUAACACAUGCAAGUCGAGCGGAGAUGAGGUGCUUGCACCUUAUCUUAGCGGCGGACGGGUGAGUAAUGCUUAGGAAUCUGCCAUUUAGUGGGGGACAACAUUCCGAAAGGAAUGCUAAUACCGCAUACGUCCUACGGGAGAAAGCAGGGGAUCUUCGGACCUUGCGCUAAAUGAUGAGCCUAAGUCGGAUUAGCUAGUUGGUGGGGUAAAGGCCUACCAAGGCGACGAUCUGUAGCGGGUCUGAGAGGAUGAUCCGCCACACUGGGACUGGGACACGGCCCAGACUCCUACGGGAGGCAGCAGUGGGGAAUAUUGGACAAUGGGGGGAACCCUGAUCCAGCCAUGCCGCGUGUGUGAAGAAGGCCUUAUGGUUGUAAAGCACUUUAAGCGAGGAGGAGGCUACUGAGACUAAUACUCUUGGAUAGUGGACGUUACUCGCAGAAUAAGCACCGGCUAACUCUGUG
rnacentral:rRNA from 1 species